GGAAGGUUGCAGCAAAGCCCUGCCAGGGAGGGGUCGUCGACACGGUUCUGCCGGCAGAACCGUCACCACGCGCGCCGACAGGUGGGCCCCACCCCCUCCACGGUUCGCGCUCGCCCCUUCGGUCCUCCGCGCGGCGGGUGGCGGGGCAGGUCGCGAACAUGGAAGGCGAGGGUUAUGCCUCCGUGAGCCUCGCCGCGCUGGAGUACAUCCACGUGCACAAGACGGCGCGGCUCGUGGAGGCCGCAGUGGCGUCGGGCGCCAUCGCGGGGGCAGCGGGGUUGCCGAGGUGGAGCGCGUCUCCUGGUUUUCUUCCCCUUCCCCACCCUCGGCUAGCGAGGACGUGGGGGCGCGGCGACCCGCGGCCCGAUGGAGGCGCGGUGCGCCGCGGUAUUGCUGGCGGCCCGCCCCGGCCGUCGACACCAGGUGCGGGCCGAAGUUGCGCCGCCCACCCUUCGCUGCCGCAGCAGGCCCAGGCACCCCGCUGCCCGUCUCCGCAGCGCCCUCGGCCUCCCGCUCCACCCCGCCCACCUGCCCUCCGCCGGGGCCGGCCGCGCAUUUCGCGAGGUGAAUGCGGGGCUCGGGACAGGCGCAGCGGGCGCGGUAGGAGCGGUCGGGGGGCCGUCGGCGACUAGCGUGCACGAGCUGCUUGAGUGCCCUGUCUGCACCUGCUCCAUGUUCCCGCCCAUCCAUCAGAUGGGCUAUGCAAAAUUGAUGGCUUCUAAUGCCAGCACAUUGAAUAACCAGAUUUCCAGCCAAGCAUGCAAAAACUUCUUUAUCAUGUACCCCUCUCCUAUCUGGAUCUCAAGCAAACCAAGGAUGUAAGGAUGUAUCAUUCUGUGCAUUGUUUCUAGGAGGAGCCCUGUGCUCUGCUGUGGUUCCGCUUGAUUUAGUUCAAUCGGCUGUCACUAUCUUCUGCCUGUGCUGCUCGGUUUUUAGCCACUGCCUUUGGGUUACUGCAGCUCUGCAACACUGAUUUGGUUCCGUUAUGCUGUCACUACCAAUUGCAGCCUAAGCUCCUUGAUUAACUGCUCGGCAGCGGCAGCCACUCUUGGACCUCUUUCAUUUUUCUUUGUGGUUCAGUUUUCGCUUCUCGUCUGAUUUGAAUUUCUCUACUUGCUGGCCAGCAACAGUAGCAACCUAUUGGCUUUGACGUUCUGUACCAUUUUGAUUGCAGCAACAGCUUGGCUUUUUCUCUCUGAUUUUCAGCCACGGUAUCUGGUUGACCACGGCAGGCAUGUUCAGCUAUCAGCUUGUGCAUGUAAGUAGCACAGAAGCAGGGAGCGGCGAGGUUUCAAGUCUCAGGUAAUGUCAUUUGUGAAGUGUCAUUUUCCUGCAGCAGUGUAUAUGGUAGUCUUUGUCUGCUUGUUAUUUUCUCUAUGUUAUUCCUUGGUUGAUCUUUUGAUGGAUGAUUGGUUUAAUAAAUUUUAGUGAAUGUUUGGUUUAACCAAUUUACGCUAUUAUUUCUUCCUUGCAUGUUAAUCCCUUUGCUUGGUCAUUACAACUUGGUUGGUUUAAUUUGAUAUGCAGUGGCAAUCAGUUCUUCCUGGAUGUAUAAUUCAUAUUCAUGUUGACUGCCAGUGAGUUAUACUACUGCAUCAGCUCUCCGAUUUAAGAUAAUUUGAGAUGCUAACUUAUUCUAUCUGCCAGAGCAAUCUGUUUGCCUCUUGCUUUACUUAUGAUUGGGAUUUGGAGAUGGUGCAAGGUGGAACCUUGGGAAGAGUUCAUGACUUUCUGGGGAGUCGAUGCUAAUGCAUUGUGUUCUAGCUGUGAUUUUAAAGCCUUUGCGGGUUUAAUUUUUACAGGAAAAAAUAUGCUUGCAUUCAUUCAUCCUGGAUGGGGAAACAGCGUACUUGCACGCUUGGUUAAUACAGCUUGUUCUUGAACACAGAUAGUUGUUCCGCUGGUCGCUGGGUUUAGGAAGGCGCAAAUUUGGCAGAUUGGUCAACUAAAAGCCAGCAGUCAACACUACAUACAGACAUAUCUCUUGUGGUUUCAGGUACCAAAGGGAAUGGGUGUCAUCCUUCAGGACUUCAGCUUUGGAGCUAACUGAAGUUAACUCGAGCGCUUUAGCUAGCACAGUCCCGAACUUUCAGAAGAGCGUUGUUAUAAAAAAAAGAACUUUCAGAAGAGCGUGAAGGAAACACCGAAUCCCAAAUUACCUUAGCGAGCGCCGGAUAGCAGGACCGAUGAAGACAGGUAACAGCCGAAGCAGAGAGCAGCUCACCGUGUCAACAAUGUGCGAAUGGCUCUUUUGAUUCCAAACUCACGUCACAAUGACGCGUUAGCUGCAAGUCAACAAGUGAUUAGUAUUAUACGUCGAGUGAUAAUUCGAGGCACGGUGACAGUUGUUUUUGAAUGACAGCGUAGUUUUAAGCUUAUGGUCAGCAUCUUGCUUUUGCAUUUGAAUUGAAUUCACCAUGAACUAUUCAUAAAGUGCUUUGCAUGAUAUUUUUUUAAAUAAUAAUUGAUAUUUUUUU